rnacentral:rRNA from 1 species
AGAGUUUGAUCCUGGCUCAGGAUGAACGCUGGCGGCGUGCCUAAUACAUGCAAGUCGAACGCUUUGUGGUUCAACUGAUUUGAAGAGCUUGCUCAGAUAUGACGAUGGACAUUGCAAAGAGUGGCGAACGGGUGAGUAACACGUGGGAAACCUACCUCUUAGCAGGGGAUAACAUUUGGAAACAGAUACUAAUACCGUAUAACAAUGACAACCGCAUGGUUGUUAUUUAAAAGAUGGUUCUGCUAUCACUAAGAGAUGGUCCCGCGGUGCAUUAGCUAGUUGGUAAGGUAAUGGCUUACCAAGGCGAUGAUGCAUAGCCGAGUUGAGAGACUGAUCGGCCACAAUGGGACUGAGACACGGCCCAUACUCCUACGGGAGGCAGCAGUAGGGAAUCUUCCACAAUGGGCGAAAGCCUGAUGGAGCAACGCCGCGUGUGUGAUGAAGGGUUUCGGCUCGUAAAACACUGUUGUAAGAGAAGAAUGACAUUGAGAGUAACUGUUCAAUGUGUGACGGUAUCUUACCAGAAAGGAACGGCUAAAUACGUGCCAGCAGCCGCGGUAAUACGUAUGUUCCAAGCGUUAUCCGGAUUUAUUGGGCGUAAAGCGAGCGCAGACGGUUAUUUAAGUCUGAAGUGAAAGCCCUCAGCUCAACUGAGGAAUUGCUUUGGAAACUGGAUGACUUGAGUGCAGUAGAGGAAAGUGGAACUCCAUGUGUAGCGGUGAAAUGCGUAGAUAUAUGGAAGAACACCAGUGGCGAAGGCGGCUUUCUGGACUGUAACUGACGUUGAGGCUCGAAAGUGUGGGUAGCAAACAGGAUUAGAUACCCUGGUAGUCCACACCGUAAACGAUGAGUGCUAGGUGUUUGAGGGUUUCCGCCCUUAAGUGCCGCAGCUAACGCAUUAAGCACUCCGCCUGGGGAGUACGACCGCAAGGUUGAAACUCAAAGGAAUUGACGGGGACCCGCACAAGCGGUGGAGCAUGUGGUUUAAUUCGAAGCAACGCGAAGAACCUUACCAGGUCUUGACAUCCCUUGACAACUCCAGAGAUGGAGCGUUCCCUUCGGGGACAAGGUGACAGGUGGUGCAUGGUUGUCGUCAGCUCGUGUCGUGAGAUGUUGGGUUAAGUCCCGCAACGAGCGCAACCCUUAUUACUAGUUGCCAGCAUUCAGUUGGGCACUCUAGUGAGACUGCCGGUGACAAACCGGAGGAAGGUGGGGAUGACGUCAAAUCAUCAUGCCCCUUAUGACCUGGGCUACACACGUGCUACAAUGGCGUAUACAACGAGUUGCCAACCCGCGAGGGUGAGCUAAUCUCUUAAAGUACGUCUCAGUUCGGAUUGUAGGCUGCAACUCGCCUACAUGAAGUCGGAAUCGCUAGUAAUCGCGGAUCAGCACGCCGCGGUGAAUACGUUCCCGGGUCUUGUACACACCGCCCGUCACACCAUGAGAGUUUGUAACACCCAAAGCCGGUGGGGUAACCUUCGGGAGCCAGCCGUCUAAGGUGGGACAGAUGAUUAGGGUG